AUCCAGCUAACUAGUCCCAAAUAGGACGAAACGCGCGUCCUGGAU
rnacentral:hammerhead_ribozyme from 1 species